UCGGGAAUUUUGUGCAAUGGGCGAAAGCCUGACACAGCAACGCCGCGUGAAGGAUGAAGUCCCUCGGGAUGUAAACUUCGUAAGAAUAGGAAGAAUAAAUGACGGUACUAUUUGUAAGGUCCGGCUAACUACGUGCCAGCAGCCGCGGUAAUACGUAGGGACCAAGCGUUGUUCGGAUUUACUGGGCGUAAAGGGUGCGUAGGCGGCAUAUCAAGUCACUUGUGAAAUCUCCGGGCUUAACUCGGAACUGCCAAGUGAUACUGAUGUGCUAGAGUGCAGAAAGGGCAACUGGAAUUCUUGGUGUAGCGGUGAAAUGCGUAGAUAUCAAGAGGAACACCUGAGGCGAAGGCGGCUAACUGGUCCGGUACUGACGCUGAGGUGCGAAAGCGUGGGGAGCAAACAGGAUUAGAUACCCAUGUAGUCCCUGAGCGGGCUGGCAAGGCGCAU
rnacentral:rRNA from 1 species